rnacentral:rRNA from 1 species
UACGUAGGGGGCAAGCGUUGUCCGGAAUCAUUGGGCGUAAAGCGCGUGUAGGCGGCCCGGUAAGUCCGCUGUGAAAGUCGGGGGCUCAACCCUCGGAUGCCGGUGGAUACUGUCGGGCUAGAGUGCGGGAGAGGCGAGUGGAAUUCCUGGUGUAGCGGUGAAAUGCGCAGAUAUCAGGAGGAACACCGGUGGCGAAGGCGGGUCUCUGGGCCGUAACUGACGCUGAGGAGCGAAAGCGUGGGGAGCGAACAGG